rnacentral:misc_RNA from 1 species
UUGCUGUUCUUCCAACUGUUUGGCUUCGAGACCUCAGUUUACUUAGCUAUAUCUCUGCUGGUGGAGUUAUUGCAUCAGUUUUGGUGGUCAUCUGCUUAUUCUGGGUUGGUUUGGUUGAUCAAGUUGGGAUUCAUAGUAAUGGGACUGUACUGAACCUUGGGACUCUUCCUGUCGCUAUUGGUCUCUAUGGUUAUUGUUACUCAGGACAUGCUGUUUUCCCAAAUAUCUAUACCUCCAUGGCACAACCUAACAAAUUCCCUAUGGUUCUCUUAGCAUGCUUCGGUAUCUGUACUGUCAUGUAUGCUGGAGUUGCUGUUAUGGGGUACACUAUGUUUGGAGAAUCAACGGAGUCUCAGUUCACUCUUAACAUGCCUCAAGAUCUAAUAGCCACAAAGAUUGCUGUGUGGACUACGGUAGUGAAUCCAUUUACCAAAUAUGCAUUAACCAUGUCUCCAGUGGCAAUGAGUCUUGAAGAAUUGAUACCAUCAACCCAUCUGAAGUCUCACAUUUAUGCUAUCUGCAUCAGGACAGCACUGGUGAUCUCCACCUUGAUUGUCGGUCUAUCCAUUCCCUUUUUCGGUCUGGUGAUGUCUUUGAUUGGAUCUUUGUUGACAAUGCUAGUAACCUUGAUACUUCCUUGUGCUUGUUUUCUAAGCAUCUUAAGGGGUAAAGUAACCAGAUUUCAGGCUGCAGUUUGUAUUAUGAUCAUUGUAGUAGGGGUGAUAUCAUCAGUCUUUGGAACCUACUCAGCCUUCUCCAAAAUUGUUGAGAGCUUGAGAAAAUCUUAAUUUUCCAGAGUAGCUUCUUAUGUUUUCCAUUUCCAAAUUCUUUGAGACAUUGCAUCCUCAGUUCCCUUUAAUGCAUUUAUAGUCUGCUAUUUUGGUAUGUGUAUUGACACUAAAAGAAAUAUGAGUAUUGCUACUAUUCACUAAGUCCAG